rnacentral:rRNA from 1 species
CCUACGGGAGGCAGCAGUGGGGAAUAUUGGGCAAUGGACGCAAGUCUGACCCAGCAACGCCGCGUGAAGGAAGAAGGCUUUCGGGUUGUAAACUUCUUUUAAGGGGGAAGAGCAGAAGACGGUACCCCUUGAAUAAGCCACGGCUAACUACGUGCCAGCAGCCGCGGUAAUACGUAGGUGGCAAGCGUUGUCCGGAUUUACUGGGUGGAAAGGGCGUGCAGCCGGAGAGACAAGUCAGAUGUGAAAUCCGCGGGCUCAACCCGCGAACUGCAUUUGAAACUGGUUCCGUUGAGUAUCGGAGGGGGCAUCGGAAUUCCUAGUGGAGCGGUGAAAUGCGUAGAUAUUAGGAAGAACACCAGUGGCGAAGGCGGAUGACUGGACGACAACUGACGGUGAGGCGCGAAAGCGUGGGGAGCAAACAGGAUUAGAUACCCCGGUAGUC